AUUGAACGCUGGCGGCAUGCUUUACACAUGCAAGUCGAACGGCAGCACGGGCUUCGGCCUGGUGGCGAGUGGCGAACGGGUGAGUAAUAUAUCGGAACGUACCCAGAAGUGGGGGAUAACGUAGCGAAAGUUACGCUAAUACCGCAUACGAUCUAUGGAUGAAAGCAGGGGACCGCAAGGCCUUGUGCUCCUGGAGCGGCCGAUAUCUGAUUAGCUAGUUGGUGAGGUAAAGGCUCACCAAGGCGACGAUCAGUAGCUGGUCUGAGAGGACGACCAGCCAAAAGGGAAUGGAGAAAGGGUCAAGAACCAUAGGGGAGGCAGCAGGGGGGAAUUUGGGAAAAGGGGGGAAAGCCUGACCCAGAAAGGCCGGGGGGGGGAAGAAGGCCUUCGGGUUGGAAAGCUUUUUUGUAAGGGAAGAAAGGGUAGAGGAUAAAAUCCUUUGCUAAUGAAGGUACCGGAAGAAUAAGCACCGGCUAAAUACGG
rnacentral:rRNA from 1 species